GGGCCCGCACAAGCGGUGGAGCAUGUGGUUUAAUUCGACGCAACGCGAAGAACCUUACCCAGACUUGACAUGCAUCGGACGGGUGUGGAAACACACCUUCCCUUCGGGGCCGAUGCACAGGUGCUGCAUGGCUGUCGUCAGCUCGUGUCGUGAGAUGUUGGGUUAAGUCCCGCAACGAGCGCAACCCUUGUCCUUAGUUGCUAACGGGUCAAGCCGAGCACUCUAAGGAGACUGCCGGUGGUAAACCGGAGGAAGGUGGGGAUGACGUCAAGUCCUCAUGGCCCUUACGUCUGGGGCUACACACGUGCUACAAUGGCCGGUACAGAGGGUUCCGAUACCGCGAGGUGGAGGUAAUCCCAAAAAACCGGUCUCAGUUCGGAUUGCAGUCUGCAACUCGACUGCAUGAAGUUGGAAUCGCUAGUAAUCGCUGAUCAGCAGGCAGCGGUGAAUACGUUCCCGGGCCUU
rnacentral:rRNA from 1 species